AGUCGCGUGGUCUAAUGGUUAUGAUUUCUCGUUCACAGUUUUCCAAGCACGUGAGCUUGUUUACUUUCCACAUCAUCAUCUUGAUGGGGUUCCGAGAAGGUUCCCGGUUCGAUCCCGGGCGCGACUA